GACGAACUGUGCAAACGUUAUUCGGAAUCACUGGGCUUGAAGAGUGCGUAGGCGGUUUCGUAAGUAGGGUGUGAAAGCCCCCAGCUCAACUGGGGAACUGCGUCCUAAACUGCGAGGCUGGAGUGAGGUAGGGGUGUGUGGAACUUCCGGGUGGAGCGGUGAAAUGUAUUGAUAUCGGAAGGAACGCCGGUGGCGAAAGCGACACACUGGGCCUUGUCUGACGCUGAGGCACGAAAGCCAGGGGAGCAA
rnacentral:rRNA from 1 species